CUACGGGCCGCAGCAGUGGGGAAUAUUGGGCAAUGGGCGCAAGCCUGACCCAGCAACGCCGCGUGAGGGAAGAAGGUUUUCGGAUUGUAAACCUCUGUCCUUGGGGACGAAGAAGUGACGGUACCCAAGGAGGAAGCUCCGGCUAACUACGUGCCAGCAGCCGCGGUAAUACGUAGGGAGCAAGCGUUGUCCGGAAUUACUGGGCGUAAAGGGUGCGUAGGGGGCAUAUUAAGUCAGGUGUGAAAUACUCGGGCUCAACCCGGGGGGUGCAUUUGAAACUGAUAUGCUUGGAGUGUGAGAGAGGAAAGUGGAAUUCCUAGUGUAGCGGUGGAAUGCGUAGAUAUUAGGAGGAACACCAGUGGCGAAGGCGACUUUCUGGCUCAUAACUGACGCUGAGGCACGAAAGCGUGGGGAGCAAACAGGAUUAGAUACCCCCGUACUC
rnacentral:rRNA from 1 species